ACUACACCUCAUUAGUUUGGGCACUUCCGGGUUGACAAUGUCAGUCCAGCUCAUGACACAAUUGAGAAGAAGACAAGUUGUGUUAGCUCUUACAAGCCUUGGAAAAGAUAAGUCUGGUCAUUGUCCCGUUGAAACACCCAACUGCGCCCAAGACCCAACCUCCAGGCUGAUGAUUUUAGGUUGUCCUGAAGAAUUUGGAGAAAUGGCAACAGCGACGGAUGAAUAUCUCAAGACAAGAAGAUAGAGAAAAAGAAGAAGCUUAUCUACUAUGGAGUCGGCAUGAACUACAAAGGCAGACUCGCACAAUUUUUCAGGACAUAUGCAGAUCCCAAAUACAGAUCAGCAGGGACCAGAAG